rnacentral:rRNA from 1 species
UGGGGAAUAUUGCACAAUGGAGGGAACUCUGAUGCAGCGACGCCGCGUGAGUGAUGAAGGAAUUCGUUUCGUAAAACUCUGUUCUAUGGGAAGAAAAGGACUGUACCAUAGGAGAAAGCUCCGGCUAAAUACGUGCCAGCAGCCGCGGUAAUACGUAUGGAGCGAGCGUUGUCCGGAAUUAUUGGGCGUAAAGGGUGCGCAGGCGGCUUUACAAGUUGGAUGUGAAAUAUUGUGGCUCAACCACAAACGUGCAUCCAAAACUGCAAAGCUUGAGUUAAGGAGGGGUAAGUGGAAUUCCUGGUGUAGCCGUGGAAUGCGUAGAUAUCAGGAAGAAUACCGGUGGCGAAGGCGACUUACUGGACUUAAACUGACGCUCAGGCACGAAAGCGUGGGGAGCAAACAGG